UCCACCAUGAUUGCUAUCCUUCUGAAAAGAGGAAAUCUGGAUACAGAGAGAAGACCAUGGGAAGACACACAGGGAGGAGAUGGCCAUGUGCCUGGAGUGAUGUAUCUACAAGCCAAAGAGCACCAUGCAAUGCUGGCAGAGCUACCGAGAAGCUCAGAUCCAAAUCUGAAUGAAGCUCAAUUAUAGAAACCACAUUAGUCCUUACGGUUUUAUCUGCACUGAGAGGCUGGGAGCUCUACUAGAGUGGGGAUCAGCUCAUUCAUCUUUUUACCCUCUGUGCCUGUUCCAUGGAGUACCUGGGGCAUAACAGGCAUGUCUCUUUUUGGAGCCAACCAACCUACUGACCAAAUAAAAAAUUAAUAGAUGUGAUUUGUUCAAG